UGGGGAAUAUUGGACAAUGGGCGAAAGCCUGAUCCAGCCAUGCCGCGUGUGUGAAGAAGGUCUUCGGAUUGUAAAGCACUUUAAGUUGGGAGGAAGGGCAGUAAGCGAAUACCUUGCUGUUUUGACGUUACCGACAGAAUAAGCACCGGCUAAAUCUGUGCCAGCAGCCGCGGUAAUACAGAGGGUGCAAGCGUUAAUCGGAAUUACUGGGCGUAAAGCGCGCGUAGGUGGUUCGUUAAGUUGAAUGUGAAAGCCCCGGGCUCAACCUGGGAACUGCAUCCAAAACUGGCGAGCUAGAGUAGGGCAGAGGGUGGUGGAAUUUCCUGUGUAGCGGUGAAAUGCGUAGAUAUAGGAAGGAACACCAGUGGCGAAGGCGACCACCUGGGCUCAUACUGACCCUGAGGUGCGAAAGCGUGGGGAGCAAACAGG
rnacentral:rRNA from 1 species